AUUAGUAUUAAAGUAGUCGCAAAUUCGCAAAGCAACAUGUAUCAAGGUCCUCAGCUCUCUUUCAUACUACUUUCAAUUCUUGUAGUGACAGGUUGGCUUCUGUUGCCUGCUGAAGCGUAUAUAAUCGAUGCGCCCCUUAGAAAAAAAGGGAGAAGAUAAAGAAGGAGAUGCAAACCCGUCAUAAUGCGUAAUAAAUUUCAGUCAGCAUGGACAAGCGUUAACACAAAAUAAAGAACACAUUUGCAAAACACACACCUUUUCUUUCCUGUAUUAAUUCACACACAUUGUUAUCAAUAUAAGGUUCUCAACAAAAUUGCGAUUCAUGCUAACAGGUUUCCAUCAAGUAUUCGCUAAGCUUCAUUUGCUUAUCGUCGUUUACAAUUUGUGGAAGUCAUACAUUAUAAGGACGAAGUAAACGCCGUGAUAUAACACCGUAAAUAACAUUACUUUAGUACUCCUAAUCUUAUC